CGGGGCGUAGCGGAGCCUGGUACCGCGCCUGCUUUGGGGGCAGGAGAUCCCCGGUUCGAAUCCGGGCGCCCCGA
rnacentral:tRNA from 1 species